CGGGAUGUGGCGCAGCCCGGCUAGCGCGCCUGCCUUGGGCGCAGGAGGUCGCGAGUUCAAAUCUCGCCAUCCCGACCA
rnacentral:tRNA from 1 species